CCCUUAGAGUUUGAUCCUGGCUCAGGACGAACGCUGGCGGCGUGCUUAACACAUGCAAGUGGAGCGACGAACCAGGGCUUGCCCUGGGGCAAAGCCGCGAACGGGUGAGUAACACGUGGGUAACCCACCCCGAUGAUUGGGACAACCCCGGGAAACCGGGGCUAAUACCAAAUGUGCUCUAGAUCCAUGAGGACCUCGAGUAAAGAUAGCUUCGGCCUUCGCAUCGGGACGGGCCCGCGGCCCAUUAGCUUGUUGGUGAGGUAACGGCUCACCAAGGCGACGAUGGGUAGCUGGUCUGAGAGGACGAUCAGCCACACUGGGACUGAGACACGGCCCAGACUCCUACGGGAGGCAGCAGUGGGGAAUCUUGCGCAAUGCGCGAAAGCGUGACGCAGCAACGCCGCGUGGGGGAAGAAGGCCUUCGGGUUGUAAACCCCUUUCAGUUGGGACGAAGCUUCAGCGGUUAAUAGCCGUUUGGAGUGACGGUACCUUCACAAGAAGCCCCGGCUAACUACGUGCCAGCAGCCGCGGUAAUACGUAGGGGGCUAGCGUUGUCCGGAAUCAUUGGGCGUAAAGAGCGUGUAGGCGGCCCGGUAAGUCCGCUGUGAAAGUCGGGGGCUCAACCCUCGAAUGCCGGUGGAUACUGUCGGGCUAGAGUGCGGAAGAGCGAGUGGAAUUCCUGGUGUAGCGGUGAAAUGCGCAGAUA
rnacentral:rRNA from 1 species